AAAAACAGGCUGGGCACUAUGUAGUUGAUUAAGUUCACCCUCUGGUUUGUUCCAUUUAGUAGUAAUGUUGUCUUCUUUGACACAGACCAGUUUAUGUCUGACUUGGAACACCAGCCAUCAGGUUCAGCAGAGAAAUGGCCUAACCACAGUGAGCUCUCAUGUCCAGCUCCUUACUGGAGAAUCUAGAGGUGAACGAAAUAAUCGGGAGAGACAUGUCUCAGAUUUCUGUUUCCCAAGCCCCAGACAUAAGCAGAGAGGCUCCCCUUCCAGGUUCUGAGUGCCCGGAUAUAGGAAGAUCUGAUGGUCUCUAAUUGUGCUCACUUGCAGCCUUGUGCCCACCACCAACUUCUCAACAUGUUUCUGUCUUGGACUUUGGGUUUGCAACUCUUCAGCCUUCAGGACCCAUGCCAGGAGUUGGACUCACCAUUGGGGGGAAAGCAGCAUUCCUCCACCUCAGGCCUUGGGUAGAUUUUGUAAAAGAACAGAAGCAGCACAGACUGAGCUGUGGAGAAAAUGAGCUUUGCAUUUUUAUAUUUAAAUAGGAUACUUUUGUAUGAUGGGUGCUUUGAGAGUGAAUGCAGCAGGCUCUUCAUUUUCGAGGUGCUGCUUUUGCAGGUGACCUGGUUGCAUAGCUAAGAUUAGUGAUUUAUACUGCUUUCUGGUCAUUUGAAAGGCCCUUUAGUUUUGAUAUUUUUAAAAUAGGAAAUUUUGAUAAAACCUUCCAGAGGCAAACAAAAAGACAAAAAAAAAAAAA